rnacentral:misc_RNA from 1 species
GUGAGUCAUCGAAUCUUUGAACGCACCUUGCGCUCCUUGGUAUUCCGAGGAGCAUGCCUGUUUGAGUGUCAUGAAAUCUUCAAUCUACAAGCUUCUUAUGGGAGUUUGUAGGCUUGGACUUGGAGGCUUGUCGGUCCUUUACAGGUCGGCUCCUCUCAAAUGCAUUAGCUUGGUUCCUUGCGGAUCGGCUUGUCGGUGUGAUAAUGUCUACGCCGCGACCGUGAAGCGUGUUUGGGCGAGCUUCUAACCGUCUCGUUACGGAGACAACUUUAUGACCUCUGACCUCAAAUCAGGUAGGACUACCCGCUGAACUUAAGCAUAUCAAUAAGCGGAGGA